CAGCAGCCACGGUAAUACGUAGGGUGCGAGCGUUAAUCGGAAUUACUGGGCGUAAAGCGUGCGCAGGCGGUUAUAUAAGACAGAUGUGAAAUCCCCGGGCUCAACCUGGGACCUGCAUUUGUGACUGUAUAGCUAGAGUACGGUAGAGGGGGAUGGAAUUCCGCGUGUAGCAGUAAAAUGCGUAGAUAUGCGGAGGAACACCGAUGGCGAAGGCAAUCCCCUGGACCUGUACUGACGCUCAUGCACGAAAGCGUGGGGAGCAAACAGGAUUAGAUACCCGUGUAGUCCCUGUCUCUUAUAC
rnacentral:rRNA from 1 species